GAGGAUUUAGUUGAGUGGUUUAACGCCGUUUUUACACGACGGAAAGAGAGGUUCAAUUCCUCUAAUCCUUA